AGUGAACGCUGGCGGUAGGCCUAACACAUGCAAGUCGAACGGCAGCACAGUAAGGGCUUGCUCUUACGGGUGGCGAGUGGCGGACGGGUGAGGUAUACAUCGGAAUCUACUUUUUCGUGGGGGAUAACGUAGGGAAACUUACGCUAAUACCGCAUACGACCUACGGGUGAAAGCAGGGGAUCUUCGGACCUUGCGCGAUUGAAUGAGCCGAUGUCGGAUUAGCUAGUUGGCGGGGUAAAGGCCCACCAAGGCGACGAUCCGUAGCUGGUCUGAGAGGAUGAUCAGCCACACUGGAACUGAGACACGGUCCAGACUCCUACGGGAGGCAGCAGUGGGGAAUAUUGGACAAUGGGCGCAAGCCUGAUCCAGCCAUACCGCGUGGGUGAAGAAGGCCUUCGGGUUGUAAAGCCCUUUUGUUGGGAAAGAAAAGCAGCAGGUUAAUACCCCGCUGUUCUGACGGUACCCAAAGAAUAAGCACCGGCUAACUUCGUG
rnacentral:rRNA from 1 species